GGAUCGAUGAUGACAACAUGUUUCUGAGGACGGUGAUUGACUCAAACAAAAGCUCUCUCUCUGAGGUCC